ACACGGAGGGCGCAAGCGUUGCUCGGAAUCACUGGGCGUAAAGCGGGUGUAGGCGGUCUAGCAAGUCAGAUGUGAAAGCCCACGGCUCAACCGUGGAAGUGCAUCUGAAACUGCUAGACUUGAGUGCCGGAGAGGGAAGUGGAAUUCCUGGUGUAGGGGUGAAAUCCGUAGAUAUCAGGAGGAACACCGGUGGCGAAGGCGACUUCCUGGACGGCCACUGACGCUCAGACCCGAAAGCGUGGGGAGCAAACAGGAUUAGAAACCCUAGUAGUCC
rnacentral:rRNA from 1 species